CGACCAGGAGCUGAAACCCAGGACCGGCAGCACCGCCUCCCACCCUGCUGUGGCUGUGUGCGCGUGGAGCGGGGUGCUGUAAGUCCUGCUCCAUCCCCGUUAGAGCUCGGCUGGGCAUGGUCCUGACUGGGACUCUGGUGACUGUCAGCACCCAUAGGACUGAGGGAGGCUUCUCACACAGGAAGUUGACCCAUGUCCCCGGGGCCUCCCUCUGACCCCAGGUCCUGCCCCUCCACCAUCCUGCAGGGGUGGGGGCGGGGUGCUGAGCCCACCUCUCUGGCUCGCCUGGCCCCACUCAGGCACAGACAUUUCUGUAAUAAAAUCGAACCUAUUUGUGUUGA